GAUGAACGCUGGCGGCGUGCCUAAUACAUGCAAGUCGAGCGAACGGACGAGAAGCUUGCUUCUCUGCUGUUAGCGGCGGACGGGUGAGUAACACGUGGAUAACCUACCUAUAAGACUGGGAUAACUUCGGGAAACCGGAGCUAAUACCGGAUAAUAUUUUGAACCGCAUGGUUCAAAAGUGAAAGACGGUCUUGCUGUCACUUAUAGAUGUAUCCGCGCUGCAUUAGCUAGUUGGUAAGGUAACGGCUUACCAAGGCAACGAUGCAUAGCCGACCUGAGAGAGGGAUCGGCAACACUGAACCGGAGACACGGCCAAGACUCCAAGGGGAGGCAGAGGUGGGAAAUCUUCCGAAAGGGGCGAAAGCCUGACGGAGCAACGCGGCGGGAGUGAUGAAGGUCUUCGGAUCGUAAAACUCUGUUAUUGGGGAAGAACACAGGUGUAAGUAACCGUGCACAUCUUGACGGUACCUAAGCAGAAAGCCACGGCUAACUACGU
rnacentral:rRNA from 1 species